AUUGGCCUACGGGGGGCAGCAGUGGGGAAUAUUGGGCAAUGGGCGCAAGCCUGACCCAGCAACGCCGCGUGAAGGAAGAAGGCUUUCGGGUUGUAAACUUCUUUUCUCAGGGACGAAGCAAGUGACGGUACCUGAGGAAUAAGCCACGGCUAACUACGUGCCAGCAGCCGCGGUAAUACGUAGGUGGCAAGCGUUAUCCGGAUUUACUGGGCGUAAAGGGCGUGUAGGCGGGAAAGCAAGUCAGAUGUGAAAACCUUGGGUCCACC
rnacentral:rRNA from 1 species